UUCCUACGGGACGCAGCAGUAGGGAAUCUCCGGCAAUGGGCGAAAGCCUGACCGAGCAACGCCGCGUGAAUGAAGAAGGCCUUCGGGUUGUAAAAUUCUGUUAUAAGGGAAGAAAGGUGAUAGGAGGAAAUGACUAUCAAUUGACGGUACCUUAUGAGAAAGCCACGGCUAACUACGUGCCAGCAGCCGCGGUAAUACGUAGGGGGCUAGCGUUAUCCGGAAUUACUGGGCGUAAAGGGUGCGUAGGUGGUUUCUUAAGUCAGAGGUGAAAGGCUACGGCUCAACCGUAGUAAGCCUUUGAAACU
rnacentral:rRNA from 1 species